rfam:Vibrio splendidus LGP32 chromosome 2
UGACCCUUCUUAAGCCGAGGGUCACCUAGCCAACUGACGUUGUUAGUGAACUUAUGAUUUGUUCACAAAUAUAUAGAGCCAAUCGCGAUUAUUGCGGUUGGCUAUUUUUUU